rnacentral:rRNA from 1 species
UACGUAGGGUGCAAGCGUUAAUCGGAAUUACUGGGCGUAAAGCGUGCGCAGGCGGUUGUGUAAGACAGAUGGGAAAUCCCCGGGCUUAACCUGGGAACUGCAUUUGUGACUGCAUCGCUGGAGUGCGGCAGAGGGGGAUGGAAUUCCGCGUGUAGCAGUGAAAUGCGUAGAUAUGCGGAGGAACACCGAUGGCGAAGGCAAUCCCCUGGGCCUGCACUGACGCUCAUGCACGAAAGCGUGGGGAGCAAACAGG